rnacentral:rRNA from 1 species
GUUUGAUCCUGGCUCAGAUUGAACGCUGGCGGCAUGCUUUACACAUGCAAGUCGAACGGCAGCGCGGGGCAACCUGGCGGCGAGUGGCGAACGGGUGAGUAAUAUAUCGGAACGUACCCAAGAGUGGGGGAUAACGUAGCGAAAGUUACGCUAAUACCGCAUACGAUCCAAGGAUGAAAGUGGGGGAUCGCAAGACCUCAUGCUCCUGGAGCGGCCGAUAUCUGAUUAGCUAGUUGGUGAGGUAAAGGCUCACCAAGGCGACGAUCAGUAGCUGGUCUGAGAGGACGACCAGCCACACUGGGACUGAGACACGGCCCAGACUCCUACGGGAGGCAGCAGUGGGGAAUCUUGCGCAAUGGGCGAAAGCCUGACGCAGCGACGCCGCGUGAGGGAAGAAGGCCUUCGGGUUGUAAACCGCUUUCAGCAGGGACGAAAUUGACGGUACCUGCAGAAGAAGCCCCGGCCAACUACGUGCCAGCAGCCGCGGUAAUAA